rnacentral:rRNA from 1 species
UACGAAGGGGGCGAGCGUUGUUCGGAAUUACUGGGCGUAAAGGGUGUGUAGGCGGUUAUGUAAGAUAGCGGUGAAAUCCCGGGGCUUAACCUCGGAAUAGCCGUUAUAACUAUGUAGCUAGAGUUAUGGAGAGGAUAGCGGAAUACCCAGUGUAGAGGUGAAAUUCGUAGAUAUUGGGUAGAACACCGGUGGCGAAGGCGGCUAUCUGGCCAUAUACUGACGCUGAGGCACGAAAGCAUGGGGAUCAA